rnacentral:rRNA from 1 species
CCCGGCGACCGGCGCACGGGUGAGUAACACGUAUGCAACCUGGCCGUGACAGAUGGAUAACCGGGAGAAAUCCCGCCUAAUACAACAUAAUGCCGGGAGGGGACAUCCCCUGCCGGUCAAAGGGGGCGACCCCGGUCAUGGAUGGGCAUGCGGCGCAUUAGGUAGUUGGUGGGGCAACGGCCCACCAAGCCGACGAUGCGUAGGGGUUCUGAGAGGAAGGUCCCCCACAUUGGAACUGAGACACGGUCCAAACUCCUACGGAAGGCAGCAG